rnacentral:rRNA from 1 species
GACGAACGCUGGCGGCGUGCUUAACACAUGCAAGUCGAACGGAAAGGCCCUGCUUUUGUGGGGUGCUCGAGUGGCGAACGGGUGAGUAACACGUGAGUAACCUGCCCUUGACUUUGGGAUAACUUCAGGAAACUGGGGCUAAUACCGGAUAGGAGCUCCUGCUGCAUGGUGGGGGUUGGAAAGUUUCGGCGGUUGGGGAUGGACUCGCGGCUUAUCAGCUUGUUGGUGGGGUAGUGGCUUACCAAGGCUUUGACGGGUAGCCGGCCUGAGAGGGUGACCGGCCACAUUGGGCCUGAGAUACGGCCCAGACUCCUACGGGAGGCAGCAGUGGGGAAUAUUGCACAAUGGGCGGAAGCCUGAUGCAGCAACGCCGCGUCCGGGAUGACGGCCUUCGGGUUGUAAACCGCUUUCGCCUGUGACGAAGCGUGAGUGACGGUAAUGGGUAAAGAAGCACCGGCUAACUACGUG